CCGCUCAGGUGCGCAGAGCCGCACAUCUGCAGCAACAGCUGGGCCGGGCCCAGGCCAGCUGUGCACAGCUGGAGGCUGCCCGCAGGCAGGUGGAGGAGCUGAGCGGGCAGCGGGAGGAGGCGGCGCUCAGCGCUGAGAAAUGGCACCUGGAGUUCCGGCACCUGCAGGAGCGCUUCGAGGCCCUGAGCCAGGAGAAGGAGCGGCUGCUGGAGGAGCGGGACGCGCUGCGCGAGGCCAACGAGGAACUGCGCUGUGUGCAGGUGCAGCAGAGCCACCUGAGCCA